AACGAACGCUGGCGGCGUGGAUAAGACAUGCAAGUCGAGCGCUGAUUACAGGGUAGCAAUAUUCUGUGGUCGGAGCGGCGCAAGGGUGCGUAACACGUGGGUAAUCUGCCAUGAAGUUUGGAAUAACUCGCUGAAAGGCGAGCUAAUGCCGGAUGUGAAAGCUGGGAGGCAUCUCCUGGUUUUUAAAGCUGGGGACCGUAAGGCCUGGCGCUUCUUGAUGAACCCGCGGCCUAUCAGCUUGUUGGUGAGGUAAAAGCUUACCAAGGCUAUGACGGGUAGCUGGUCUGAGAGGAUGAUCAGCCACACUGGGACUGAGACACGGCCCAGACUCCUACGGGUGGCUG
rnacentral:rRNA from 1 species